rnacentral:miRNA from 1 species
UCAUGUCAGAUGUGAGAUGAGC